AGAACGAACGCUGGCGGCAUGCCUAACACAUGCAAGUCGAACGAGACCUUCGGGUCUAGUGGCGCACGGGUGCGUAACGCGUGGGAAUCUGCCCUUGGGUUCGGGAUAACAGUUGGAAACGACUGCUAAUACCGGAUGAUGUCUUCGGACCAAAGAUUUAUCGCCCAGGGAUGAGCCCGCGUAGGAUUAGCUUGUUGGUGAGGUAAGAGCUCACCAAGGCGACGAUCCUUAGCUGGUCUGAGAGGAUGAUCAGCCACACUGGGACUGAGACACGGCCCAGACUCCUACGGGAGGCAGCAGUGGGGAAUAUUGGACAAUGGGCGAAAGCCUGAUCCAGCAAUGCCGCGUGAGUGAUGAAGGCCUUAGGGUUGUAAAGCUCUUUUACCCGGGAUGAUAAUGACAGUACCGGAGAAUAAGCCCCGGCUAACUCCGCGCCACAGCCGC
rnacentral:rRNA from 1 species